GAUGAACGCUAGCGAUAGGCCUAACACAUGCAAGUCGAGGGGCAUCACAUGAAGUAGCAAUACGGAUGGUGGCGACCGGCGCACGGGUGAGUAACACGUAUGCAACCUGCCUUCAACAAGGGGAUAACCCGUUGAAAGACGGACUAAUACCCUAUAACACAGGGGUCCCGCAUGGGAAUAUUUGUUAAAGGACAACCGGUUGAAGAUGGGCAUGCGUUCCAUUAGCUAGUUGGCGGGGUAACGGCCCACCAAGGCAACGAUGGAUAGGGGAACUGAGAGGUUUAUCCCCCACACUGGUACUGAGACACGGACCAGACUCCUACGGGAGGCAGCAGUGAGGAAUAUUGGUCAAUGGACGCAAGUCUGAACCAGCCACGUCGCGUGAAGGAAGACUGCCUUAUGGGUUGUAAACUUCUUUUAUACAGGAAUAAAAGGCUUACGUGUAGGCCAUUGCAAGUACUGUAUGAAUAAGCAUCGGCUAACUCCGUGCCAGCAGCCG
rnacentral:rRNA from 1 species